AUUGAACGCUGGCGGAAUGCUUUACACAUGCAAGUCGAACGGCAGCACGGGGGCAGCCCUGGUGGCGAGUGGCGAACGGGUGAGUAGUACAUCGGAACGUGCCCGGUCGUGGGGGAUAACGUAGCGAAAGUUACGCUAAUACCGCAUACGAUCUGAGGAUGAAAGCGGGGGACCUUCGGGCCUCGCGCGAUCGGAGCGGCCGAUGUCAGAUUAGGUAGUUGGUGGGGUAAAGGCCUACCAAGCCGACGAUCUGUAGCUGGUCUGAGAGGACGACCAGCCACACUGGGACUGAGACACGGCCCAGACUCCUACGGGAGGCAGCAGUGGGGAAUUUUGGACAAUGGGCGCAAGCCUGAUCCAGCCAUUCCGCGUGCAGGACGAAGGCCUUCGGGUUGUAAACUGCUUUUGUACGGAACGAAAAGGCUCUGGCUAAUACCUGGGGCUCAUGACGGUACCGUAAGAAUAAGCACCGGCUAACUACGUG
rnacentral:rRNA from 1 species